rnacentral:rRNA from 1 species
AUGGAAAAUUUGGGGCAAGUGAAUGAUGCGUUGAGAUCAACUAUGUGCUCUCUUCGGUCCUGGAGUAAUAAGAGGUUUGGAGACAUCACUCGAGAUAUUAAUAAAACACGCACCCGGUUGGAAGAACUGAUGAACAUGAACGCUGAUAGGCAGGAAAUAAGAGAAGUCUCUGAUAAAUUGAAUGAAACGCUAUAUAAGGAGGAGAUGUUGUGGCUCCAAAGGUCUCGAAUCACGUGGCUCAAGGAGGGGGACAGGAAUACAAAGUACUUUCAGAGUAAGGCAGUAUGGAGGGCGAGAAAGAACAAAAUCAGAGAGCUUCAGGAUAAUGAUGGUAAUAUUCACACGGAUAUUCAUGAAAUGGGCAAUAUGGCUACUUCUUAUUUCCAGGAGAUAUUCACUGUGGAUCCUAACCUUGACGCUUCGGCUGUCUUGGAAUUGUUUGAUGAGGUGGUAACAGAGAAUGACAAUGCAAAAUUAUGUGGUGAGUUUACAGACAUGGAAAUCUCUGAUGCUCUUUUUCAGAUAGGGCCACUGAAGUCCCCGGGCCUGAACGGAUUCCCUGCAAGAUUUUUCCAGCGUAACUGGGAUGUCCUAAAGGAGAAUAUCAUUAAAGAAGUUAGAGAAUUCUUCAGAACGGGUAUCAUGCCAGAUGGGGUUAAUGACACUUGCAUAGUCUUAAUCCCAAAGGUUGCGAGUCCCACAAAGUUAUCCGAUUUCCGACCUAUUAGCCUUUGCAAUGUGAUUUAUAAAGUGGUCUCCAAGUGUUUGGUUAAUAGAUUGAGACCCCUCUUGGAUGAUAUCAUUUCACCAGAACAAAGUGCCUUUAUACCUGGCAGGAUGAUCACUGACAAUGCACUUAUUGCUUUUGAGUGUAUUCAUUACAUUAAGCAGGAGAAAGAUCCAUCUAAAAGUUUUUGUGCAUACAAACUUGAUUUGUCAAAGGCAUAUGAUCGGGUUUACUGGAACUUCUUGAGGCAAGUGAUUCAAAAGUUGGGUUUUGCUCAUCGAUGGAUUGACUGGAUUAUGACUUGUGUCACGUCGGUGAGACAGAGGGUUGAGGUGCGCACAAUUACUCCUGUGAAGAUUUGUAGGCGUGCACCUGGCGUCUCACAUCUUUUGUUCGCGGAUGACACUUUGUUGUUCUUCCAAGCAUCACGAGGACAAGCUGAACAUGCCAAAUCAUGUCUUAAUAUCUAUACACAAGCUACUGGUCAGCUCCUGAAUUAUAACAAAUGCUCUAUCAUGUUCGGUGAGGCAUGUCCAGUUAAUUUGCAAGAUGAAGUCCGGGAGGUGUUACAUGUUACAAAUUCCGGUUUUGAGGAGAAGUAUCUGGGUCUUCCAACCCCCAAUGGUAGGAUGUCAAAAGGAAGAUUUCAAAACCUGCAGGCACAACUUAUGAAAAGACUAAUUCAAUGGGGAGAUGGCCUUCUUGCCCAACCUGGGAGGGAAGUACUUAUCAAAUUAGUAGCAGAGGCCCUCCCUGUUUACAUAAUGGGAGUUUUCAAGCUUCCCUUUUCGGUCUGUGAUGAUCUGACAGAGAUGGUACGAAAUUUUUAUUGGGGUGCCUCUAAAGGUAAACGUAAAGUGCAUUGGAAAGCAUAUCAGAAACUUUAG